CAGUGCGUAGUGUAGGAGCAACACGCUCGGUUUGGGCCCGAGGGAUCGCAGGUGCAAGUCCUGCCGCGCUGACCA
rnacentral:tRNA from 1 species